GAUGAACGCUGGCGGCGUGCCUAAUACAUGCAAGUCGAGCGAACAGACGAGGAGCUUGCUCCUCUGACGUUAGCGGCGGACGGGUGAGUAACACGUGGAUAACCUACCUAUAAGACUGGGAUAACUUCGGGAAACCGGAGCUAAUACCGGAUAAUAUAUUGAACCGCAUGGUUCAAUAGUGAAAGACGGUUUUGCUGUCACUUAUAGAUGGAUCCGCGCCGCAUUAGCUAGUUGGUAAGGUAACGGCUUACCAAGGCAACGAUGCGUAGCCGACCUGAGAGGGUGAUCGCACACACUGGAAGUGAGACACGGUCCAGACUCCUACGGGAGGCAGCAGUAGGGAAUCUUCCGCAAUGGGCGAAAGCCUGACGGAGCAACGCCGCGUGAGUGAUGAAGGUCUUCGGAUCGUAAAACUCUGUUAUCAGGGAAGAACAAAUGUGUAAGUAACUAUGCACGUCUUGACGGUACCUAAUCAGAAAGCCACGGCUAACUACGUG
rnacentral:rRNA from 1 species